rnacentral:rRNA from 1 species
CAGCACCUACGGGGGGCAGCAGUGGGGUAUAUUGGACAAUGGGGGGAACCCUGAUCCAGCGACGCCGCGUGAGUGAAGAAGUAUUUCGGUAUGUAAAGCUCUGUCAGCAGGGAAGAAAGAAAUGACGGUACCUGACCAAGAAGCCCCGGCUAACUACGUGCCAGCAGCCGCGGUAAUACGUAGGGGGCAAGCGUUAUCCGGAAUUACUGGGUGUAAAGGGAGCGAAGACGGUUAAGUAAGUCUGGAGUGAAAGGCCGGGGCCCAAACCCGGGACUGCUGUGGAAACUAGUUAACUUGAGUGCAGG